UGAAAUUCAAAGAUUUGACAA
rnacentral:piRNA from 1 species